GAAAUGUGGCACAGUGGUUAAGUUGCUUGGCUUGUAAACCAGUGGUCGUAGGUUUGACUCCCAUCUGGAUUUCA